AACGAACGCUGGCGGCAUGCCUAACACAUGCAAGUCGAACGAGACCUUCGGGUCUAGUGGCGCACGGGUGCGUAACGCGUGGGAACCUGCCCUUAGGUUCGGAAUAACUCCCCGAAAGGGGUGCUAAUACCGGAUAAUGUCUUCGGACCAAAGAUUUAUCGCCUUUGGAUGGGCCCGCGUUGGAUUAGCUAGUUGGUAGGGUAAAAGCCUACCAAGGCGACGUUCCAUAGCUGGUCUGAGAGGAUGAUCAGCCACACUGGGACUGAGACACGGCCCAGACUCCUACGGGAGGCAGCAGUGGAGAAUAUUGGACAAUGGGCGAAAGUCUGAUCCAGCAAUGCCGCGUGAGUGAUGAAGGCCUUAGGGUUGUAAAGCUCUUUUACACGGGAUGAUAAUGACAGUACCGGGAGAAUAAGCUCCGGCUAACUCCGUG
rnacentral:rRNA from 1 species